GGAUGCUCCAAGGUCAGGUAUGGAAGAGAUUUAACAUUGAUUACCCCCUUGUGAUCUAUACCGUUGGAUAUUCAGGUAUUACUGUAUGUGUAACAGCUAAAACAAGAGAGGAAGGAAAAUAAAGGCAGUGGACCUGAACGAGGGGCAUCGACAAUAGCAGAAAUGUGCAGUGGAAAUGAUCAAAACAAGGUACUGUGGAAGAAAGACGUGAGCAUGAUUAUUCACCGGCUGAUUCCCACGUGGACACCACUCUUGAAGUCAUUCCCCUGGCCUUCUCCUUUUCCCUCUCGCUUUCCCAUUAGGAGGAGCCCAUCAUUCUUCAUGUUAUCAACAUGAUUAAUAUAGUAGGUGGCCCAGGGCCAUUCCUGAGAUUCUUUUGCCAAAAUAAAAUAAAAUAAAAUAAAAAUUUAAAAAUGGGGGUGAGUUUGCCGUUUUCUUAUUUUUCUGUGAAGACGGACUAAAAGGUGAGGUCCGAUUUUGGCUGUGCUCGCUCGCUCACUGAUCGGUAACAUUUGGCAAAUAAAACACAAGGAAUCAAACACAAUUAAAAAGAAGAAAAAAAAAAGAAGAAGAAAAAGAGAGAAACAGG
rnacentral:lncRNA from 1 species